rnacentral:rRNA from 1 species
GUGCCAGCAGCCGCGGUAAGACAGAGGGUGCAAACGUUGUUCGGAAUUACUGGGCGUAAAGCGCGUGUAGGCGGUCAUGCAAGUCGGGUGUGAAAGCCCGGGGCUCAACCCCGGAAGUGCAUUCGAUACUGCGUGGCUAGAGUACUGGAGAGGAUGGUGGAACUCUCGGUGUAGAGGUGAAAUUCGUAGAUAUCGAGAAGAACACCGGUGGCGAAGGCGGCCAUCUGGACAGAUACUGACGCUGAGACGCGAAAGCGUGGGGAGCAAACAGGAUUAGAAACCCCCGUAGUCC